ensembl:lncRNA
UUUCAAAAGUUCCCAGUUACUACAAAAUGUAUUAUUUGUGAGAGCUUUACUCCAAUAAAGUUUAAUGAAUCUCUGAACUUCACAAAUCACUUCUUUAUGCUCAAGAAUGGUACUAUUUAACUUCCAGUAAGAGGUUUUAGUGAUUAGGGAGGAUGACAACGGGAUCGAUAAGCUAACCAUUUUAUGGUCUGAGAGUGGUGUAGGAUAAAUAUCCGUUUUAACUUUUUCUAAAUCUUAUAAGAUAAGCCAAAAAUCGAUACGUGAGUGUCUGGUUUGAGUCUUAUUACACCAUGUAUAAGCUAUCUGAGACGAAUGAGAAUCCCUCCAAGAAUCGACUAAGUUGAAUCUUUGUGCAAACAGUCUUAAGAAUGAGUUAGAGUCUAAACUUCUAGAAGGCCAUCUGUCCAAAUAGCUGUUAAACACUGUAUUAAAGUCUCCACCAAAAAUAAUAAAAGAAUUGGGAUAUUUAGAUAACCAGCGCAGUAGGCGCUCCUCCAACCUAUCAAAAUAUAGUUUAUUCUCCCUCUGACAGUUAAAACCAUACACAUUGACUAAAAUAUAGAUAGAGUGUGCAGCCUCAACUAUUAGAAAAAUGUAAUGACCAUCUUUAUCUAUGUCAGAAUUCAAGAUUUUACCAUUAAAUCUUCCUUUAAGUAUGCAGACACCAGCAGCAUGCUCUGUACCAUGAGACAUCCACAGAUCAUCUCCCCAUUGCGAUCUCCGAAAUGUUUUUUCUUGUUCUGUUGAGUGAGACUCUUGUAUAAAACAGAAAUCUGAAUUGAACUGCUUGCAAAACAAAAAAAUAGCCUUACGUUUAACAUUGUUUCUUAAACCUCUUGCAUUUAAAGAAAUAACAGACAGAGACAUAAUGAUAGUAACAAAAAUUAAAAGUGACAAAUAAGAAAAAGCUUAAACCAAGUAAAUGAAGAACAGUUGAACCUGGUCACUUAAGAGAGUCCUAUAUAAGAUGAGAACUGCAACCCCUGAGUAAGGAAAUUGUGAACUUGAAUAAUAAUAGGAAUACAAUAGCCUAAAACAAUAAAACCAAUGUGGUAAAAAUAAAUAAAUAAAAUAAAUAAACGCUUCACAUAUGAGCAUUGAAAGGGAGCUUAAUAGAAAUUUUCUUGCUCCAUUUAAAUAACUAAUUAUUCAAAAAAAGAAUAAAAAUAAAAAAAAAAUAAAAAGAAGCUUAUCCAGCUUGCUCAUAACAUUUUCAGUAAAAAAUAUUGCAGCCAAACUGAAGACCAAUAAACUUAUAACAAAUAAACUGCAUCAGUUUAACUCUGAUCGUUUUAUGAGUCCAACAACAAAAACAAACAAACAAAAAAAGAACGGCAGUGAAACCAAGUUAAUCUUAAGAUACUUCAGUUUUCACCUCAAAAUACCUUGGAUCAAAUUAUAGGGCUGGAAAAAUCUCUUUUCCCUCCACGAACGCACGACCUCCUACGAAGAACGCCAGCUUGUUUUCGUUGCGCGCAGCUUCCACAGACGGCCAGAGUCUGUUUCUUCGGGCGCGGUCGUCAGGGGACAGAUCCUCAGCCAGCUUUAGGUUGUUACCUUUCAGGUAGGUGGACUUCUUAGCAGCGCGCCAGACAGCAUCGCGGUAGAUCCUGGAUGUAAACUGAAUGAUGAUUCCCCUGGGUUGGUUGUUGUUGGACCUCUUGGGACCGAUGCGGUGGACGGUGUCAACGACGUCGGGGAAUUUAUCUUGCAUCUCCGGUAUGACUGAUCUACAGACUUUGAUUACCUCCUGCCGCACGUCCUGC